AGACUGCGGAGCAUGUUCACGCACAGCAUGGACACCACUUCAUGUAGGGGCACUGGACUGCCUAGAGUUGGAGGAAGGGACCCUUAUGUGUCUCCAGAAGCCUUCCUUUCCAUUCCUGUGGGGUCUGACAGUUGUUGGAAGAAGGCCUGCAGGUCCAGGGCCGAGCAGGGGCCUCCACCGUCUGCUGAGGAACUUACUGUGUCUCUGUUUGAUUGAGCCUGGGCAUGAGAUAAAACACGAGGUCAUCUGCAAUGGCACUGGUGCUGUGGCUGUAUCAGCAUGGCUCUGAUGUCCCUUCGGGGCAGGCAACAGUUCAGGGAGGACUUACAAGCAAGCUCUGGAACUUGAAGUCUCAAGAGAUGACAAAUAGUCAAUUCUCAAAAAAUGAAGAAAAGAAAAACUUGUUUCUUCAUGUUUGCUAACCCUAUCUAUAUCUAUGGUUUUGGCCAAUAAAUUCACUGUGUUUAAAUCCUC
rnacentral:lncRNA from 1 species